AUUGUAUUAGAGAUAUUUUAUUAUACACAGAGAGACCGUCCAAGUGUGAACGCGAGGAAUUGUUUUGGUAUUCUAUUAUAUUUUGUGGCCUGGUUGGCGAUUUUGAAAGCGGAAACAACUGAUACGGAUUAGCUGUGUCUCAUUCGGGACGACUGCUGUCGACUUGAUGUAACCUCAUUAUAACUGAAAGAGACAGUAAGAGGCAAGGUGUGUAUCACUGUUCCCAAAUGGUUACCCAUCCGCGAACCAACAUCACAUAUAAUAGCUGAACAUCAGCGUUAAGACGGCGACUGAAUGAUCCACUGCGCCACAGCACGUCCUUAAAUGUAUAUUCUAUUAAGGUUGAUGAAAUUUGACAAGACAACAAGACGUUCUAAUUUGGCAGAUUUAAAAAGGAUGGAUCAGAAACCCUGGAUAAGACUGAUAUAUAUUCUGUGUAUAUUUUAUUCUUAAGAUUUCCUGCCUGUAGAAAAAUAUUGACAAUCCGUCAUUGAUUUCAAAUAUUUAACAUGCUUGAAUAAAGUUUAUAUUAUU